rnacentral:rRNA from 1 species
GAUGAACGCUAGCGGCAGGCCUAACACAUGCAAGUCGAGGGGUAACAGGAGUAGCAAUACUUGCUGACGACCGGCGCACGGGUGAGUAACGCGUAUGCAACCUACCUUUUACUGGGGGAUAGCCCCGAGAAAUCGGGAUUAAUACCCCAUAUUAUUAUGAACGGGCAUCCGUUUAUAAUGAAAGCUCCGGCGGUAAAAGAUGGGCAUGCGUGCCAUUAGCUAGUUGGUGAGGUAACGGCUCACCAAGGCUACGAUGGCUAGGGGGUCUGAGAGGAUGAUCCCCCACACUGGUACUGAGACACGGACCAGACUCCUACGGGAGGCAGCAGUGAGGAAUAUUGGGCAAUAGGCGCAAGCCUGACCCAGCCAUGCCGCGUGCAGGAUGAAGGCCCUAUGGGUUGUAAACUGCUUUUGUACGGGACGAACCUCCCGAUCGUGAUCGGGACUGACGGUACUGUACGAAUAAGCAUCGGCUAACUCCGUGCCAGCAGCCGAC